AGGGAGGAGACAAGAUUACCACCGUGUUUUAAAAAAUAAGGCCUGUGCAGGAAAGUUACUGAAGCACUGACACAGAAGGAAGUCAUACAAGAUACUGUACCUGGUUCCAGUAA
rnacentral:lncRNA from 12 species